CGAUGUUCGUUUGUUAUCUUCUACUAGCUCUGCGGAUGCUUCCAAGACAUUUGCCUUGCGUAUAUGCUGGAGUAUAAAGCCAAGAUAUCAUGGAGUAUCAUGGAAUCCAACAGUAGUUGCGGGUGUUUGUCAAAGGGCAGUUUACUGAUGAUGAGUGGGCAGAGGAAUAACAUAUGCCCAAAAUGACGAUGACCAUUAGGGAGAGCUCUUUGAGGUGCUCGAGGAUGAUAAGUGCCUUCC